rnacentral:misc_RNA from 1 species
UCCGGUUUGUCACCGGCAGUCUCAUUAGAGUGCUCAACUGAAUGUAGCAACUAAUGACAAGGGCUGCGCUCGUUGCGGGACUUAACCCAACAUCUCACGACACGAGCUGACGACAGCCAUGCACCACCUGUAUACCGACCACAAGGGGGGCCGUAUCUCUACGGCUUUCCGGUAUAUGUCAAACCCAGGUAAGGUUCUUCGCGUUGCAUCGAAUUAAUCCACAUGCUCCACCGCUUGUGCGGGCCCCCGUCGAUUCCUUUGAGUUUUAAUCUUGCGACCGUACUUCCCAGGCGGGACACUUAAUGCGUUAGCGCCGACCCUCACGGGGUCGCUCCCCCAAGGAUCUAGUGCCCAUCGUUUACGGCGUGGACUAC